UAAGCGACUAAGCGUACACGGUGGAUGCCUAGGCAGUCAGAGGCGAUGAAGGGCGUGCUAAUCUGCGAAAAGCGUCGGUAAGCUGAUAUGAAGCGUUAUAACCGACGAUACCCGAAUGGGGAAACCCAGUGCAAUACGUUGCACUAUCGUUAGAUGAAUACAUAGUCUAACGAGGCGAACCGGGGGAACUGAAACAUCUAAGUACCCCGAGGAAAAGAAAUCAACCGAGAUUCCCCCAGUAGCGGCGAGCGAACGGGGAGGAGCCCAGAGUCUGAAUCAGUUUGUGUGUUAGUGGAAGCGUCUGGAAAGUCGCACGGUACAGGGUGAUAGUCCCGUACACCAAAAUGCACAGGCUGUGAACUCGAUGAGUAGGGCGGGACACGUGACAUCCUGUCUGAAUAUGGGGGGACCAUCCUCCAAGGCUAAAUACUCCUGACUGACCGAUAGUGAACCAGUACCGUGAGGGAAAGGCGAAAAGAACCCCGGCGAGGGGAGUGAAAUAGAACCUGAAACCGUGUACGUACAAGCAGUGGGAGCACCUUCGUGGUGUGACUGCGUACCUUUUGUAUAAUGGGUCAGCGACUUAUAUUUUGUAGCAAGGUUAACCGAAUAGGGGAGCCGUAGGGAAACCGAGUCUUAACUGGGCGUCUAGUUGCAAGGUAUAGACCCGAAACCCGGUGAUCUAGCCAUGGGCAGGUUGAAGGUUGGGUAACACUAACUGGAGGACCGAACCGACUAAUGUUGAAAAAUUAGCGGAUGACUUGUGGCUGGGGGUGAAAGGCCAAUCAAACCGGGAGAUAGCUGGUUCUCCCCGAAAGCUAUUUAGGUAGCGCCUCGUGAACUCAUCUUCGGGGGUAGAGCACUGUUUCGGCUAGGGGGCCAUCCCGGCUUACCAAACCGAUGCAAACUCCGAAUACCGAAGAAUGUUAUCACGGGAGACACACGGCGGGUGCUAACGUCCGUCGUGAAGAGGGAAACAACCCAGACCGCCAGCUAAGGUCCCAAAGUCAUGGUUAAGUGGGAAACGAUGUGGGAAGGCACAGACAGCCAGGAUGUUGGCUUAGAAGCAGCCAUCAUUUAAAGAAAGCGUAAUAGCUCACUGGUCGAGUCGGCCUGCGCGGAAGAUGUAACGGGGCUAAACCAUGCACCGAAGCUGCGGCAGCGACACUUAGGUGUUGUUGGGUAGGGGAGCGUUCUGUAAGCCGUUGAAGGUGACCUGUGAGGGUUGCUGGAGGUAUCAGAAGUGCGAAUGCUGACAUAAGUAACGAUAAUGCGGGUGAAAAACCCGCACGCCGGAAGACCAAGGGUUCCUGUCCAACGUUAAUCGGGGCAGGGUGAGUCGACCCCUAAGGCGAGGCUGAAAAGCGUAGUCGAUGGGAAACAGGUUAAUAUUCCUGUACUUGGUGUUACUGCGAAGGGGGGACGGAGAAGGCUAGGCUGGCCGGGCGACGGUUGUCCCGGUUUAAGCGUGUAGGGGGAGUGACCAGGUAAAUCCGGUUGCUUAUCAACCCUGAGGCGUGAUGACGAUGCACCACGGUGCAGAAGCAGUUGAUGCCAUGCUUCCAGGAAAAGCCUCUAAGCAUCAGGUAACAUUAAAUCGUACCCCAAACCGACACAGGUGGUCAGGUAGAGAAUACUCAGGCGCUUGAGAGAACUCGGGUGAAGGAACUAGGCAAAAUGGUGCCGUAACUUCGGGAGAAGGCACGCUGGCGUUAGGUGAAAGGACUAGCUCCUGGAGCUGAAGCCAGUCGCAGAUACCAGCUGGCUGCAACUGUUUAAUAAAAACACAGCACUGUGCAAACACGAAAGUGGACGUAUACGGUGUGACGCCUGCCCGGUGCUGGAAGGUUAAUUGAUGGGGUCAGCCGCAAGGCGAAGCUCUUGAUCGAAGCCCCAGUAAACGGCGGCCGUAACUAUAACGGUCCUAAGGUAGCGAAAUUCCUUGUCGGGUAAGUUCCGACCUGCACGAAUGGCGUAAUGAUGGCCAGGCUGUCUCCACCCGAGACUCAGUGAAAUUGAACUCGCUGUGAAGAUGCAGUGUACCCGCGGCAAGACGGAAAGACCCCGUGAACCUUUACUAUAGCUUGACACUGAACAUUGAGCCUUGAUGUGUAGGAUAGGUGGGAGGCCUUGAAGUGUGGACGCCAGUCUGCAUGGAGCCAACCUUGAAAUACCACCCUUUAAUGUUUGAUGUUCUAACUCGGCCCCAUGAUCUGGGGUGAGGACAGUGUCUGGUGGGUAGUUUGACUGGGGCGGUCUCCUCCCAAAGAGUAACGGAGGAGCACGAAGGUUAGCUAAUCACGGUCGGACAUCGUGAGGUUAGUGCAAAGGCAUAAGCUAGCUUGACUGCGAGAGUGACGGCUCGAGCAGGUACGAAAGUAGGUCUUAGUGAUCCGGUGGUUCUGAAUGGAAGGGCCAUCGCUCAACGGAUAAAAGGUACUCCGGGGAUAACAGGCUGAUACCGCCCAAGAGUUCAUAUCGACGGCGGUGUUUGGCACCUCGAUGUCGGCUCAUCACAUCCUGGGGCUGAAGUAGGUCCCAAGGGUAUGGCUGUUCGCCAUUUAAAGUGGUACGCGAGCUGGGUUUAGAACGUCGUGAGACAGUUCGGUCCCUAUCUGCCGUGGGCGUUGGAAGAUUGAGAGGGGCUGCUCCUAGUACGAGAGGACCGGAGUGGACGAAUCACUGGUGUUCGGGUUGUCAUGCCAAUGGCAUUGCCCGGUAGCUAAAUUCGGAAGAGAUAACCGCUGAAAGCAUCUAAGCGGGAAACUUGCCUCGAGAUGAGUCUUCCCUGGGGCUUAAAGCCCCCUGAAGGAACGUUAAAGACUAUGACGUUGAUAGGCUGGGUGUGUAAGUGCAGCGAUGUAUUGAGCUAACCAGUACUAAUGAUCCGUGAGGCUUAACCU
rnacentral:rRNA from 44 species